rnacentral:rRNA from 1 species
GACGAACGCUGGCGGCGUGCUUAACACAUGCAAGUCGAACGAUGACGACCGAGCUUGCUCGGUCUGAUUAGUGGCGAACGGGUGAGUAACACGUGAGCAACCUGCCCUUCACUCUGGGAUAACCUCGGGAAAUCGGGGCUAAUACCGGAGAUGAGCUCCUGUCGCAUGGCGGGUGUUGGAAAGUUUUUCGGUGAAGGAGGGGCUCGCGGCCUAUCCGGUUGUUGGUGUGGUAGGGGCUCACCAAGGCGAUGACGGGUAGGCGGCCUGGGAGGACCGCCGGCCACACUGGGACUGAGACACGGCCCAGACUCCUACGGGCGGCAGCGGUGGGGAAUAUUACACAGUGGGCGCCAGCCUGAUGCAGCGACGCCGCGUGAGGGAUGACGGCCUUCGGGUUGUAAACCUCUUUCAGCAGGGAAGAAGCGAAAGUGACGGUACCUGCAGAAGAAGCGCCGGCUAACUACGUG